AGGCUUCCAUUUCAUGUAGUAUGAACACAUUUUGGAAUCUAGACUUGGAUCAGUAUUUAAUUUUUUUGUUCCUGACAUAAUCUGUUCGCAGUUUGCGAUGACAUGGAUGGUUUUCUCCAUUCAGAUAUUCUGCUGCUCAACUAAUGCUACCAGCUAGUCUUCAAACCAAUAACCACAACUGAUUCAUAUCCCUUCAAAAUCUUAGCUGCCAAGGUGCUUGAUCCAAAAAAAUCAGACUCGUCUGCAAUUUUAAUGACUUAUGAUGAUCCAUGCUCAACUUCAUUAUCACUACAAUCCCCAGCCACCAAGAUUAAACUUUUGAUACAAGAUAUUAAUGGAAUCGGCAAUUUACACCCGGUCUUUGUAAUGAAUGGAUAGGAAUAAAAAGAUGGAAGAAAUUAGCAAUGCAAUCUCUUCAGUGUAUAUUGAUAAAAAAUUUUCUGGACUUAACAUCCUCUAUACAGAAAGGUUUAUGUUCUUUUUCAUGGUAGGUCUGCACCUAGCGUCGCUGUAUCUCUAAAUACAUUAGACCUAAGGUUUUCAAAAAUGAAUCCAUUUACCAAAAACAUAAGAACCUAGAACCAACUUGUGGCAAAUCACCUCUCUCCAAUCUCACCAGGAACCGUCAUGGAGGAAGAAAGCAGCAGAAAAGUUCAUCGCCAUAUGGGAUAACUAGCAAAAAAACAAUAGCUUACCUAAAUUUGUCAUUCAUUCAUAUACUUCAGCAAUGUGCUUGAUGCUAGUUCU
rnacentral:lncRNA from 1 species